rnacentral:tRNA from 1 species
UGGGUUGUGGCUCAGUGGUAGAGCGCUCACCUAUCGCGUGCGAGGCCCUGGGUUCGAUCCUCAGCACCACAU